CAAUAGCGUAUAUUAAAGUUGUUGCAGUUAAAAAGCUCGUAGUUGGAUUUCUGAUCGAGACAUCAGGUCGGGUCCGAGAGGAUCAUGUACUUUGAUUUUGUUUUGAUCAUCCUUGGGGAGAGCAUUUCUGGCAUUCAGUUGUCGGGAUUGGGAUCCUCAUCGUUUACUGUGAAAAAAUUAGAGUGUUCAAAGCAGGCCUCGGCCUCUGAAUACAUUAGCAGGGAAUAAUAAGAUAGGACUUUGGUGGUCUAUUUUGUUGGUUUGCACGCCAAAGUAAUGAUUAAUAGGGAUAGUUGGGGGUAUUCGUAUUCAAUUGUCAGAGGUGAAAUUCUUGGAUUUAUGGAAGACGAACUACUGCGAAAGCAUUUACCAAGGAUGUUUUCAUUAA
rnacentral:rRNA from 1 species